rnacentral:rRNA from 1 species
AAUGAGGGAAAUCUUGAUGCAGCCAUGCCGCGUGUGUGAAGAAGGCCCGAGGGUUGUAAAGCACUUUCAAUUGUGAGGAAAGGUUAGUCGCUAAUAUCGGCUAGCUGUGACGUUAACUUUAGAAGAAGCACCGGCUAACUCUGUGCCAGCAGCCGCGGUAAUACAGAGGGUGCAAGCGUUAUUCGGAAUUACUGGGCGUAAAGCGCGCGUAGGCGGACUGUUAAGUCGGUUGUGAAAGCCCUGGGCUCAACCUAGGAACUGCAUCCGAUACUGGCUAUCUAGAGUUUAGGAGAGGGAAGUGGAAUUCCUGGUGUAGCAGUGAAAUGCGUAGAUAUCAGGAGGAACAUCAGUGGCGAAGGCGACUUCCUGGCCUAAAACUGACGCUGAGGUGCGAAAGCGUGGGUAGCGAACGGGAUU